rnacentral:rRNA from 1 species
UACGGAGGGGGCUAGCGUUGUUCGGAAUUACUGGGCGUAAAGCGCACGUAGGCGGAUAUUUAAGUCAGGGGUGAAAUCCCGGGGCUCAACCCCGGAACUGCCUUUGAUACUGGGUAUCUGGAGGUCGAGAGAGGCGAGUGGAAUUCCGAGUGUAGAGGUGAAAUUCGUAGAUAUUCGGAGGAACACCGGUGGCGAAGGCGGCAUCCUGGACCGACAUUGACGCUGAGGCGCGAAAGCCAGGGGAGCAAACGGG